CUGGAGGGGCGCGUUUACGGGUUUUCGAAGUGGUGCGGGGGUACUCGGCGGGAGCGAGGUCACGCUCCAGAUUCCUAACCUGCUAUCUGCUGGGCGGAGCCUCUGAGUUUAGCUGAGUCUCGGAGAUGGAAUUGGGGCAGGCGCUUGUCACAUAAAGUCCGUGCCCUGCUCGCGGGCUCCUGUCGCAACACUGACAAACCCGGGAGCCUUCGUGAGAGUGCAAAAAUGAGAGAUGAGGCACCAGAGGUCCCCAGGGCGCAAAUCUGAAAGCCAGCGCCUCCUGAGCACAGGCUGCCAGGGGCGAGACGACAUUAGACAUUGCCCCCCAGAUAUAAGAAGCAUCGCUUCCUUCAGACAGAGCAGAUUGAUAGAUGAAGCAUAAAACAAGACCAGAUGCUGUGGAUUCCAGGAUGCACUUGGCUUCCCAUCCUUUAUGACCUGGAGCAUUUUUUGCCUUCAUGGAUCUCCAGAUGAAGAGGAACAGCAUCUGAAAUGCCUCAUUCACAUCUGGGCCUAGUGUGUAUGACUAGAUCCUAGACCUUACAGCCAAUGCUAUACAGAAUGCCACUCCUUCCAUUAAGAAGUGAGACUCCUCUCCCCUUGGAUCUGGGCUGGCCUUGUGACUUGCUUUGGCCAAGAGAAUAGAAUGAAAGUGAUAUCCUGGGACUUCUGAACCAUGCCUUGGAGAGGGCUUGAAGCCUCUGCUUUCUUCCUCUUGGGAUUCAGUCACUGUGCAAAGAUGCUUGGGCUGGACCACUGAAUGAUGAACGGUCACACGAAGAGAGGGAGGCCCCCAGGCAUUUCAGGUGCUCCAGCUGAGGUGCCAGACAUGUGGGGAAUGUCACAGACAUUCCAGCCCUAGCCAAAGUCAUAGCUGAACGUAACCACAUGUCUGACCCAGCUGACAUCAUGGGGGAGCUGAAGAACUGUCCAGCUGUAACCUUCCCAAAUUGCAAAAUUGUGAGAAAAUAAAUGGUGGUUGUUCUUUUAAGCCACCA